rnacentral:rRNA from 1 species
UAAUACAGAGGUCUCAAGCGUUGUUCGGAAUCACUGGGCGUAAAGGGUGCGUAGGCGGCGGGGAAAGUCAGAUGUGAAAUCCGGAGGCUCAACCUCCGAAUGGCAUCCGAUACUCCCUCGCUAGAGAUUUGUAGAGGAGCUUGGAAUUCUCGGUGUAGCAGUGAAAUGCGUAGAUAUCGAGAAGAACGCUCGCAGCGAAAGCGAAGCUCUGGGCAAAUUCUGACGCUGAUGCACGAAGGCUAGGGGAGCAAACGGGAUUAGAUACCCCGGUAGUCCUAGCUGUAAACGGUGCGCGCUUGGUAUGGCGGGGCUCGACCCCUGCCGUGCCGGAGCUAACGCGUUAAGCGCGCCGCCUGGGAAGUACGGUCGCAAGAUUA